rnacentral:rRNA from 1 species
CCUACGGGUGGCAGCAGUAGGGAAUAUUGCACAAUGGGGGAAACCCUGAUGCAGCAACGCCGCGUGGGCGAUGAAGGCUUUCGGAUCGUAAAGCCCUUUUGUCAAGGAAGAUAAUGACGGUACUUGAGGAAUAAGCACCGGCUAACUACGUGCCAGCAGCCGCGGUAAUACGUAGGGGGCUAGCGUUAUCCGGAAUUACUGGGCGUAAAGGGUGCGUAGGGGGGUUGUUAAGUCAGAGGUGAAAGGCUACGGCUAAACCGUAGUAAGCCUUUGAAACUGGGGAUCUUGAGUGUAGGAGAGGAGAGUGGAAUUCCUGGUGUAGGGGUGAAAUGCGUAGAGAUUAGGAGGAACACUCGUUGCGAAGGCGGCCUGCUGGAAUGUAACUGACACUGAGGCACGAAAGCGUGGGGAGCAAACAGGAUUAGAUACCCUAGUAGUC